rnacentral:lncRNA from 1 species
UGCUGAUCCCCACGCCUGGUGACUUGUCACUCCUCGAUGAACAGAAACUACCAGAGACAGGAGUGGGCCGAGGGAGUUGGCGGCUGUGAGAUCCCCCGGGAGGUGGCCCUGCCAGCCUGGAACCGGCAUCAGGAGUGCCCGUGGGACCAUCUGAUUGACACUUUGCUCCUCCAGUUUUCUGAUCAGACCAUGACUUUUAGCUGUGGUAUUGUCCAGGCCUGCUGAAGUCCACUAUGGAUGCCAGAUUCAGGGACCCAUUCUGUCCUGCAGUUGACCCUUGUCUCCUGCUCAACCCUGAAGCCCCUGCAGCGUGUACAGACCCUGGACCCAUUCAGCUCCAGCACAGCCUGUCACACCCCUGCAAGCCAGGGUCGGCUUCAGCCUCCACAUGAUGUUGUGGAGCAUGGAGCAGGGAGGAGGUGUGAGCAGCCCACCACCGAACAGCAGGCUCCACACAUGCAGAUAACCUUCAGAGCACAGGUUGCAGUAAAAAUCAUCAGGCAUGAAGAAGUCUUGAUACUUGAUGUGAGGAAUAAACAGAAGAAGUCAACCCUGCUGAAGUCACAUGGCAGGGCACAGAAGCCAGUGGCUGUGUUAUUUUCCAACUGAAAAAUCAUGAUUUAUAAAUCAUUAAUAUGUGGAUUCCACCAAGGAUACAAACAAAAAAUGGUUUCGAUAGAGGAGCCUACUCAAACAUGCUCAAGCCUGAGUGCAGACAUGGACUCACUCAUUAUUAAAGCUUACCCUGGAAAGAGCCACGUGAAUCUUUUUGGCAACAAUCAUCCCAUGCUCCAGCUGGAGGGAACCAGAGGACUUUUGCUUUAGCCUUUCAUUUCACAGAUGCAAAGAAAUCAGAUCCAGAAAUGUUAAGUGACCUGACCAUGUUGAAACAUCCGGUUAGCGGCAGAAGCCAAACUAAAACCUAAGAUAUGCGUGUGUGUGUAAGUGUGUGUGUGUGUGGUGUGUGUGCAUGUAGGUGCACAGGUGGAAAAUCUGUGUGUUUUUCUCCAAAUCCUUGAUCUUAAGAGAGUCCAUUCUAAGAAAAUCAUCUUAAUUACAAAA